GACGAACGCUGGCGGCGUGCUUAACACAUGCAAGUCGAACGGAAAGGCCCUGCUUUUGUGGGGUGCUCGAGUGGCGAACGGGUGAGUAACACGUGAGUAACCUGCCCUUGACUUUGGGAUAACUUCAGGAAACUGGGGCUAAUACCGGAUAGGAGCUCCUGCUGCAUGGUGGGGGUUGGAAAGUUUCGGCGGUUGGGGAUGGACUCGGGGCUUACCAGCUUGUUGGGGGGGUAGUGGCUUACCAAGGCUUUGACGGGUAGCCGGCCUGGGAGGGUGACCGGCGACAUUGGGACUGAGAUACGGACCAGACUGCUACGGGAGGCAGCAGGGGGGAAUAUUGCACAAUGGGCGGAAGCCUGAUGCAGCAACGCCGCGUGCGGGAUGACGGCCUUCGGGUUGUAAACCGCUUUCGCCUGUGACGAAGCGUGAGUGACGGUAAUGGGUAAAGAAGCACCGGCUAACUACGUG
rnacentral:rRNA from 1 species